GGCGGCGUGCUUAACACAUGCAAGUCGAACGGUAAGGCCCUUCGGGGUACACGAGUGGCGAACGGGUGAGUAACACGUGGGUGAUCUGCCCUGCACUUCGGGAUAAGCCCGGGAAACUGGGUCUAAUACCGGAUAGGACUGCGCGGUGCAUGCCGUGUGGUGGAAAGAUUUAUCGGUGCAGGAUGGGCCCGCGGCCUAUCAGCUUGUUGGUGGGGUAAUGGCCUACCAAGGCGACGACGGGUAGCCGGCCUGAGAGGGCGACCGGCCACACUGGGACUGAGACACGGCCCAGACUCCUACGGGAGGCAGCAGUGGGGAAUAUUGCACAAUGGGCGCAAGCCUGAUGCAGCGACGCCGCGUGAGGGAUGACGGCCUUCGGGUUGUAAACCUCUUUCAGCAGGGACGAAGCGUGAGUGACGGUACCUGCAGAAGAAGCACCGGCCAACUACGUGCCAGCAGCCGCGGUAAUACGUAGGGUGCAAGCGUUGUCCGGAAUUACUGGGCGUAAAGAGCUCGUAGGCGGUUUGUCGCGUCGUCUGUGAAAACCAGCAGCUCAACUGUUGGCUUGCAGGCGAUACGGGCAGACUUGAGUAUUUCAGGGGAGACUGGAAUUCCUGGUGUAGCGGUGAAAUGCGCAGAUAUCAGGAGGAACACCGGUGGCGAAGGCGGGUCUCUGGGAAAUAACUGACGCUGAGGAGCGAAAGCGUGGGUAGCGAACAGGAUUAGAUACCCUGGUAGUCCACGCCGUAAACGGUGGGCGCUAGGUGUGGGUUUCCUUCCACGGGAUCCGUGCCGUAGCUAACGCAUUAAGCGCCCCGCC
rnacentral:rRNA from 1 species